UACGGAGGGUGCUAGCGUUGUUCGGAAUCACUGGGCGUAAAGGGCGUGUAGGCGGUCUGUUAAGUCUGAUGUGAAAUCCCCCUCGCUCAACGAGGGAACUGCGUCGGAUACUGGCAGACUCGAGUACCGGAGAGGAAGGUGGAAUUCCCGGUGUAGCGGUGAAAUGCGUAGAUAUCGGGGAGGAACACCGGUGGCGAAGGCGG
rnacentral:rRNA from 1 species